UUGGACUUGGCCAUGUGACUUACUUAGCCAAUGGAAUAGUAGCUGAGAUGACGCAAACAGGAACUUCAAAUGUGUGUGCCUGGUUUGACUUGGUCUCUCGAACAUUCCACAGUCAGCCAUGACAAGAGCGUGCCCCAGAUGAGGAUACUGAUGCGUAGAGAACUUAAGUAACUUGCCCAGAGUCACAUGGCAAGUAAGAGGCAGAGUUGGUACUGGAACCUAGGCAGCCUGGCUUCAGAGCCCUGGCCUUCCCCACCACCCUUGGAAGUUGAAGCCUGAGCUGGCGAAGCUGGAGAAGCAGCGUCCCCACCAUGGACUGGGAAAUGGCAUGGGUGGAGAGGUCACCCUGACGUCCUGCUGUGCCGUACUUAGAUAAUGUUUCAGUCUCACUAUCAUAGCUUCCUUGGCAGGUGUUGGCAAUGUGACAAGUCCAAUGUGACUGUGAGCAGAAGUGAGACGUGUGCCCCCGUCCUGUCUGAGAUUGAGUACCAGGACUACACACUGAGAUGGUGGUGUUACCAGAGAUGGAG